GUUGGAAAAUUAUAAAGAAAAGUUCCAUCGCAAUACACUUGCGAUUGACUUAUAAGGCACUCUUCUUUCGCCCAAGAAUCGAGCAAUCUCUGGCAUGGAAUACUUUAGCUUGGCAUACAACCGAGCCAGCUCGAAAUGAGGUCGAGCUAGCUCUAUUAGGGUAACAAAAAACUAGAUUUUAUGGACUAUAGCUCAAGCC
rnacentral:lncRNA from 1 species